AUCGUUCAAUUUGCAGUUUGCAAAUUGGAAGUAGGUUAAACCGAAGGAACGCGGA
rnacentral:ncRNA from 10 species